ensembl:lncRNA
CAGACAUCAACCAACUGCAUUGUGUACUUCUCUUCCAUUAAGAAAUCAUCUCACUCAGCCCUGACAGACUGCCUACAGUGUUUCACACCCCCAUAAUUAACACAUCAACGAACCCUACAUUUCAAAAACCACACAUAUGUGUACCCACAAAGUCUUCAGUAAAUCAGACAUCAACCAACUGCAUUGUGUACUUCUCUUCAAUUAAGAAAUCAUCUCACUCAGCCCUGACAGACUGCCUACAGUGUUUCACACCCCCAUAAUUAACACAUCAACGAACCCUAC